rnacentral:lncRNA from 1 species
UCGCGGGCCGGCUUAGNNNNNNNNCCCCCCCAAGCCACAGCGGCCGAGGCGGACGCCGGCGAGCCGACGACCAUCCGCCCGCCCGUUCCGCAGCCAUGUCUUCUUCCGUCCACUUCUUCCCGGCCGCCUCGCAGGCUCCCACCGCCGCCUGCCUCCUCAGGCCCUCCCCCAGACCCCUCCUCCACAGCCCCAUCGCAGCCACCGCCGCCGCCUUCCACGUCCGGACCGCCGCGCCGCGCCUCCGCCUCAGGAGGCGAACUCGAGCUCGCGCCGCCCCGAAAACGCCGCCCGAAGCGCCUCCCGUGGGCCCCGACCCCGACGGCGGUGGCGGCGGGGGAGGGGAGGGCNNNN